GGCUCAGGAUGAACGCUGGCGGCGUGCUUAACACAUGCAAGUCGAACGGGCUCAUAUUGAAACCUAGUGAUUUAUGAGUUAGUGGCGGACGGGUGAGUAACGCGUGGAAAACCUGCCGUAUACUGGGGGAUAACACUUAGAAAUAGGUGCUAAUACCGCAUAAGCGCACAGCUUCGCAUGAAGUGGUGUGAAAAACUCUGGUGGUAUACGAUGGUUCCGCGUCUGAUUAGCUUGUUGGUGGGGUAAUGGCUCACCAAGGCGACGAUCAGUAGCCGGCCUGAGAGGGUGAACGGCCACAUUGGGACUGAGACACGGCCCAAACUCCUACGGGAGGCAGCAGUGGGGAAUAUUGCACAAUGGGGGAAACCCUGAUGCAGCGACGCCGCGUGAGUGAAGAAGUAUUUCGGUAUGUAAAGCUCUAUCAGCAGGGAAGAAAUAGCGACCUUUGGGUCGCCAGACGGUACCUGAUUAAGAAGCCCCGGCUAACUACGUGCCAGCAGCCGCG
rnacentral:rRNA from 1 species